ACACCUGUAGCUCAGCUGGUUAGAGCACCACCUUGACAUGGUGGGGGUCGGUGGUUCGAGUCCACUCAGGUGUACCA
rnacentral:tRNA from 1 species